CCCACAGGGCUCUCGCCAGGGCUCCAGCCCUGCUUCCUCUCCCCAUGGGCCGCAUUUCCUGUCUACGACCACCAGCGUGCUGGCCCCGCAGAGACGGAGCUGCUGUUUGGCUCCCAUGAACGCCUCCCCAGCGGGCAGGUGCUCCAGAAAGGCCUACGGGCCUGCCGAGUGAACGAGCGAGGGAAGUAGUGACGGGCGUGGAAAAUCUGAGGAGUGUGGGCUUCCAAAGCUUAUCUCCUCAGGCAUCCAUCUUCAGACCUGAUCAUCAUCCGCCUCUCACCGCUGCACAGACGGGGGGACUCACCGCAAUCUGGGGCGUGACGACCUUGUGAUGUGUCAUCUCUAAAGGGGAAGAGGUUUCUACUUGAAAGAGAAAUAAAAGCAGGCAGCCUUUAUGUGGGACACUCACCCGAAGCACACAGGGCCCGGCCACUUCCCUCAGGCCUUCUCCAUCUGGACCCUUCGCCCACCACCCUGCCGGAGGGGAUGCCAAAGCAUCCUGCCGGAUGGAGCUCCUUGCUCCUACGGGACACACGGAUGCUCUGGCCAGCGGACAAACACCCCUCGAGGGAAUGUUUGGAACCUCACACUGGGCUAUGCUGAAGAUGCAUUUGUAUUUAUUCCCGGCUGCGCUGGGCCUCCGCGGCAGCCUGGAGCUUUCUCUGGCUGCAGUGAGCAGGCGCUCCCGGCUAACGGCCGCGUGCGGGCUUCUCAUCGCUGGUUUCUCUCCUCGCAGAGCGUGGGCUCCAGGCACGUGGCCUUCAGCAGGUGCGGCUCCUGGAGUAGUUGUGGCUCACAGACUAGCUCUUCCCAGACCGGGGAUUGAACCUGUGUUUCCUACCUUCGCAGGUGAAUUCUUUCCCACCGGGCCACCAGGGAAGCCCAGGCUACAUGACCCAUGCUUUUGCAUUGCCUUUUAAGCCUGAAAUUUUCCCCUGGUCAAACUAUCAAAGACUACAAGCCUAGGACGUGAGAGAAGGAACCCCCAAGGUGGAGGAAGUGGGCUUGGAGGACCAGAAAAGAAGGGAAAAACAAAACAGCCGCAGAGGCGGGGUGGCCGCUCCCCUUCCUGUCACCUGGAGGAAAUAAAGGCUAAUUAAGGAGAUGCCGGAGUUUCCACGCUUCUGAUUCCUUUAUUGCGUGUUGCUCAGUUGUGUCCGACUCCUUGUGACCCUGUGGACGGCAGCACGCCAGGCCUCCCUGUCCGUCACCGUCUCCCGGAGCACCAAAGCCACGGCCGACUCAGGAAUCCUGGCCCCAGGGAACACGCCGCACAUGAGCCCGGCCACCCUGGGUCCCGGGGAGACCCCGCUGACCUGUGACCUCUGCCCACAGCGGGAAGGCAGGGCUCACGUGACUCAGCGCCUCCUAUUCUGAGCCCCAGGGAGCCCCACGCCGAGAGGCUGGCCCACAAUUUCUGUGGCCCCCAAGUUCCUGGAGUGGGAGGUCCAGGCAUUUACCGAGGAUGCCCCGCUGUCCCCAGGGUUCUGAUUUCUGCUCACUGACCACUGCAAGAACACAGCUCCUCGCGGGAAGGAGGGGGCUUUGUGGAAUUCGCCCCAGCUACAGUCUCUCAGCAGCAAGGACCUCCACUUACCCGAUUGAAUCUGGCCCACCCGCCUCGGCUCCGUGACCGAGGACGCGGCACCUCCUCCCCCGAGGGUCGCCUCUGUGGGCUGCGGGGGGUGUGGGUCGGGAGGGGCCCCGUGAAAUGGGCAGCCGCGCCUCGGGCGGUCUGCAGUGCCCGCAGCACCAGGCCCUUAGGGACGGUGCCCAGGAAGCUCCAUCCUCAACGCUCCCAAGUGCUGCUGGUAUCUGUGAACCCAGAUCCGCUGAACUAAACAACAAGCUUAUUUCCCCUUCAAAAUUUAAGCUUCAGAUUAGCCCAUGUGUCCUAUGCU
ensembl:lncRNA